UGCAACAUCCAAAAGCGGAUCAAUUUUGUGGGACAUGGCACAAGGAAAUAAUUAUGGGCAAAGCAGCAAUGGGGUGGCUGAUGAAUCCCCAAACAUGCUGGUGUACAGAAAGAUGGAAGACGUCAUAGCCCGCAUGCAAGAUGAGAAAAAUGGGAUUCCUAUUCGUACAGUGAAAAGUUUUCUUUCCAAGAUUCCCAGUGUCUUUUCUGGUUCAGAUAUUGUUCAAUGGUUAACAAAGAACUUAUCGAUAGAAGACCCAGUUGAAGCUCUGCAUUUGGGAACUCUGAUGGCAGCACAUGGCUAUUUCUUUCCAAUCUCAGACCAUGUUCUAACACUGAAGGAUGAUGGCACCUUUUAUCGAUUCCAGACACCCUAUUUUUGGCCAUCAAAUUGUUGGGAGCCGGAAAACACAGACUAUGCUGUUUACCUCUGCAAGCGGACAAUGCAAAACAAAGCAAGACUAGAACUAGCAGACUAUGAAGCUGAGAGUUUGGCCAGGCUACAGAGAGCUUUUGCUCGGAAAUGGGAGUUUAUUUUUAUGCAAGCUGAAGCACAAGCGAAGGUUGACAAGAAGAGAGACAAGAUAGAGAGGAAGAUUCUUGACAGUCAGGAGCGAGCAUUUUGGGAUGUGCACCGUCCUGUGCCUGGCUGUGUAAACACUACUGAAGUGGAUAUAAAAAAGUCUUCAAGAAUGAGAAAUCCACAUAAAACAAGAAAGUCUGUCUAUGGCUUACAAAACGACAUUCGAAGUCACAGCCCUACGCACACGCCAGUGCCUGAGACUAAGCCACCCACAGAAGAUGAACUACACCAAGAGAUUAAGCACUGGCAAAUGCAAUUAGACAGACAUAGAUUAAAAAUGUCAAAAGUUGCAGAGAGUCUAUUAGCUUAUACAGAGCAGUAUUUGGAAUAUGAUCCUUUUCUUGUGCCCCCUGAUCCCUCAAACCCUUGGAUAUCAGAUGACACCACUUUCUGGGAACUGGAGGCAAGCAAAGAGCCAGGACAGCAGAGAGUGAAACGAUGGGGAUUUGGCAUGGAUGAAGCUUUGAAAGACCCUGUGGGAAGAGAGCAGUUUCUGAAAUUCUUGGAGUCAGAAUUCAGUUCAGAAAAUUUAAGGUUCUGGUUAGCAGUAGAAGACCUGAAGAAGAGGCCAAUCCGUGAAGUUCCUGCUCGCGUCCAAGAAAUCUGGCAAGAAUUUCUUGCUCCAGGUGCACCCAGCGCUAUCAACCUAGAUUCAAAAAGUUAUGACAAAACCACUCAGAAUGUGAAGGAACCUGGAAGAUACACAUUUGAAGAUGCUCAGGAGCACAUUUACAAACUGAUGAAAAGUGAUUCUUAUCCUCGUUUUAUACGAUCCAGUGCCUACCAGGAGCUGCUACAGGCCAAGAAAAAGUUGGAAAACACUCUGGAUCGUCGAACAUCUUUUGAGAAAUUCACACGCAAUGUGGGCAGAAACAUCCCUAUUUUUCCAUGCCAUAAAAACUGUACACCAACACUGAGGGCGAGCACUAACCUGUUAUGAAAAGAGAGAAAACUCUGAAAUAAAGUCAGUGGUUUUGCUUUUUUUCCAACUAUUACCUGUUAACCUGGGUGGAGUCUGUCAAGUCGGGUCAGGGGAAAUCGCUCACAUCAAAGAGGUUAACCAGUCUAGUGCAGUCCUACUAAAAGGAUCACCUUGUAGCAUGGAAGCAGACUCAAAUCAUUAUACAUACUUUGUAGCUCACUGAUUGCCUGACUCAGAGGACAGUAGAACAAGAUGUUGCAUGAGCAAGGACCUGACUUGUUUUCUUUUGUGUAUACUAAGGCAUUACAGACUCCGAGGGACUCUCUAGCCUUUCGAUGCCUCCAUUUCGAAAACUGUCUGCUCACUUCCUCCUUCAUAUCAAGCUGGAUCUGUGUCUUUUUAUUUUCUGCAAGCUCAAGUACAGUGAAAAAAAAGCUUCUGCUAGGCACAGUUUAUUAAAAAAAUACGUCAAUCAAAAACUGGAAGAAAUGUAAAAAAUGCAUAUAUUAAUAAAUAUACAUAUGGCAUCACAUUUAUUGCACAAUAAAUUAGCACAGAAGGUUUCAUUUCACUGAUGUAUUCACAUUGAGAAAGAAAGCCUGUGUCUUUGUCUGUUGUCUGUAUAUUCUCUGUUAAUGUUUCUUGCAUUUAUUUUUAUACCAUAUUUAAAAAAGAACACCUUUUACUCCAGAUGUAUUAAAGUUGAUCCUUUCUCUGUAAAUUUGUGUAUGUUUAUAUUGUUGUUUUAUCUUUCAUUAAAAGAUGCAGAAUCUCUUU